rnacentral:rRNA from 1 species
UACGUAGGGGGCUAGCGUUGUCCGGAAUCAUUGGGCGUAAAGAGCGUGUAGGCGGCCCGGUAAGUCCGCUGUGAAAGUCGGGGGCUCAACCCUCGAAUGCCGGUGGAUACUGUCGGGCUAGAGUGCGGAAGAGGCGAGUGGAAUUCCUGGUGUAGCGGUGAAAUGCGCAGAUAUCAGGAGGAACACCAAUUGCGAAGGCAGCUCGCUGGGACGUAACUGACGCUGAGACGCGAAAGCGUGGGGAGCAAACAGC